rnacentral:lncRNA from 1 species
CCCCACAAGCCUUUGCUCCACUUCCCCAAAAUGCUUUGUAAUCUCACGGGAAUUCUGAGGUGGGCCGAGAUCGAGGAAGGAUUUAAGCUGGUGGCAAAGGUUUUUGGCUCUUUUGGACUUCCAUUUUGGAGCAGAGGCGUCUUCCAUGAUGAUCUAUGCCUGGCAAACUUUGCGAAAGCUGAAAUGCAGGAAGAAUCUCUGAUGAAGCAGAACUGGCUCUCCUGAGGAUAAUUCUAAUAAAGUAGAGCCCAUGUAAUUCAACUCUUACUUGAACAUGGAUCCUCACUACCUAAGAGCUAAGUGGUUAUCUAUACCAUUUUCAAAGACCUCUGGUUUCCUCUUCAAUGGUCUUUUCAGUUUGGAAGUGCUGGGGGGGAAAGAUUUCCAGUCACCAGCAGGAAAAGGUAGUGUUGGCAAAGCUUUCGGAGAUUUCAUGCCCAAACUGUACUUUCAAGCUACCUGUGAGCCCCCUGCUUUACUGCGGAGGAGGGGAAAGGAAGUGCUCACAUUGGUCUGCCUGACAGAGGGCUGGGUCACACAAAAAAAUGUCAUGAGGCUUAAUGGAGAGGAGGAAUGGAGCAGCCCCCUCCAGCACACCAGAUCUUCAUAAACGUGGCUGUAGGACCAAAUAAAACAUUCUUCUUCUUCCA